UACGGGGGGGCAAGCGUUGUUCGGAAUUACUGGGCGUAAAGGGCUCGUAGGCGGCCAACGUAAGUCGGACGUGAAAUCCCCAGGCUCAACCUGGGAACCUGCGUCCGAUACUGAUGGCUGAUCGGAGUGAGGAUGGCAGAUCUACGUGUAGCGGUGAAAUGCGUAGAUAUCUGGAGGAAUACCGGUGGCGAAGGCGGCAUCCUGGACCGGCAUUGACGCUGAGGAGCGAAAGCCAGGGGAGCAACGGGGAUUAAGAUGACCCGGGUAGCCAGGUACCAAGUC
rnacentral:rRNA from 1 species